ensembl:snRNA U1 U1 spliceosomal RNA
AUACAUACUUGGUAGGGGAGGUACCAUGAUCCUGAAGGUGGUUUUCCCAGGGCAAGGCUUAUCCACUGCACUCUGGAUGUGCUGACGCCUAUGAUUUCCCCAAAUGUGGGAAACUCAACUGCUUAAUUUGUGGUAGGAGGGGACUGUGUUAAUUCACACUUUCCUCUG